UCUCUCCCAAUGAAGGCUCGAGAGUUUGUCCCAACACGAUCCAUAAAUGAAAGGCGACUGCAUAGACUGUAUUCUAUAACGUCUCACAAGUGGUUUGCUGGGGCCGGCCGGACUGGGAUGAGUUUUCGGCUCAGAAGACCUAUAGGUUUGGUGUUGGACGAGCCUCGGGAUACAGAACGUUUGUAUCGGAGGAAGCGGCUCCCAACACCCUGGUUGCCACCGUACAUGGCUUUGAUCCAGAUGGAGAUCAUGUGACUUACAACAUUUUGGAAGGAAAUAGAGAAGGAAACUUUAUUAUUGACUCCGAGAAAGGAAUAAUCCGUCUUGGUUCUAACCUGCUUCCAAAGCAUCAUGGAGCCGAGUAUGUUCUGUAUGUGACCGCCACAGAUGACAACGCUUCGGGGGGUCCUCACAGCCUCACCAGCACGACUACGGUCGUCGUGAGAGUCGAUGACGUCAACCAGAACAAGCCUGUCUUCCAUCAGUGUGCCCAGUACCGUCACCACGCCGUAGUCCUGGCGAAGCAGCCCCCAGGAACGUUUGUGCUGCAGGUGGAGGCGAAAGACGCAGACGUUGGCGUCAACGGUCAAGUGAAGUACGGGAUCGUUCAUCGCGAGGGCUCUCUUCCUGCAUUCAGCAUC